rnacentral:tRNA from 1 species
GGGGUUGUGGCUCAGUUGUAGAGCACUUGCCUAGCAUGUGUGAGGCCCUGGGUUCAAUUCUCAGCACCA